rnacentral:rRNA from 1 species
UAAGGAAUAUUGGUCAAUGGAGGCAACUCUGAACCAGCCAUGCCGCGUGCAGGAAGAAGGCCCUAUGGGUCGUAAACUGCUUUUGAACAAGAGAAAACCCCGGUACGUGUACUGGGUUGAUAGUAUUGUUAGAAUAAGCAUCGGCUAACUUCGUGCCAGCAGCCGCGGUAAGACGAAGGAUGCAAGCGUUAUCCGGAUUCAUUGGGUUUAAAGGGUGCGUAGGCGGACUGAUAAGUCAGUGGUGAAAUCUCUCGGCUUAACCGAGAAACUGCCAUUGAUACUGUUAGUCUAGAGUACAGAUGAUGUGGGCGGAAUAUGACAUGUAGCGGUGAAAUACUUAGAUAUGUCAUAGAACACCGAUUGCGAAGGCAGCUCACAAAACUGUAACUGACGCUGAGGCACGAAAGUGCGGGGAUCAAACAGGAUUAGAUACCCCCGUAGUCCCUGAGCGGGCUGGCAAGGCGCAU